ACCAGUCUUUUCCAAAUGCAAAUGUUGACUUAGGGCCUUUCUAUUCAUCCACAGUUUAAUUAACACAAUUUUAUUGCACAAAAAUCAAGAUAAACUCGGCAAAGCAAAAGGCAACACAGCCUCUGAUGGGGGCACUGCAAGAAAUUCUCAAGACUGGUGCAUGCCUUCUGCCACGCUAGCCCUUUUCCAGCCCUGCUGGCUGCCUGUGCUGUGGUCAGAGCUGUGCAUGUGGAGCUGGGGAGCUGCCCUGCUGCACCUUGCUGUGCCCCCUGGCUGGCUGCAGGAGGCCAACAGCAAGCUUGGUACAGCAUGAACAAGGAAUUGAAGAAUUGUUCUCUGGGAAUUGCAUUGUACUGAUCUUAUCUGAGGAGAUGGCUUCAGUUCUCUAGCUUGGUGUUGUGGUCUGCAGCACCUCAAGGCACCUCGUGUGCUCACCAGUCCACAGAGGGGUCAGACUCUGCUCCUCAUAGUUAUGGUGCUAGCUUUAAGCCUCCAGGCCCACACGAUUACAGCUUCAGCCCUAGCUGAAGCACUGGAACUGCUCUUGCAUAAAGGGAUAUUGCAGAAGCGCUUGAGCAUUGAGAUGCUCAGAUGUGAUAAUGGCAGUGCAAUUAGGAGAGUUGUAGAGAGUUGUUGGAGAUACUCCUUGGACCAAUGAUUUGUUGUAGUCUUUUCUAAUUUUCUUGUUUUCCGAUAAUUUACCAGCUGAUGGCUGUUCAUGUCUACAUUAAUUCAAUCUUCAUCAGCUAAAAGUUCUGAGCCUUUGAGCUUCAUAUUGACUGUUUGUUUCUGCUCUUUUGUUACUGAGGCCAAAAAAGUAAUUUUAAUAACUACGAAUGUUUGUUCAGAUUUGUUUGUCUGGCUCUCAUUACUUACUAAGGGUCACUUAACAUCCCUGUAGUGUUAUGUAGGACAAACUAAGAAAUGAGGUUGUCCAUAACAGAGCUGUGUGCCAGCAAAACACAACUAUGCAAGCUGGAUCAUGAACAGCAUUGAAAAUACACAGUAGGAAUUCCCCUUGGUACAGUAGCACUCAAAAAACAUACAUUUACAAUAAGUACAGAGGGUUGGGAUCUUGGAUUUAGAGCUCAUUGGUAAAAAUGGACUUGCUAGUAUUUUCACAUUUGUACUUAUUACCAGACUGUACCUGGCUUCUUGUAUUGCUCUUUUCAGUAUUGUAAGCAAAGAAAAGUCCAUGGUAUUAACGCAGGAACAGGAUAUCUUUUUUUGGAUAUUUGUAAGCCAAAAGCUCAACAUGAGGCACUUGUCCUCCAUUUAAUAUGGAACUUAAACUUUUACGGUAGAGGCUUCUAUAGAAGUCACUUCUGGGUGUGCUUGUGGUCAUAUGCAGCAUUCAUAAAUACUGCUACAAUUUUGCUGAGAAUAGCCAAAAUACUUAGUCCCAAUUGUUGGCUAAGUGCCUUCUGCCUUAUCAUAAUAUUCUCUGUGUUGUCAGUAUGGUGCAGAAUUGUUCAUUUCCUGCCCUGAAAGACUGUUUAGUUCUACCAAACGUUGUUAAGCAGAUGUAGCAUUUCACCCAAGAGCUGGUUGUGUUUCAAUUCUGGAUAAAGUGGUUCCUGUAAAUAAG